rnacentral:rRNA from 1 species
UACGUAGGGCGCAAGCGUUAUCCGGAAUUAUUGGGCGUAAAGAGCUCGUAGGCGGUUUGUCGCGUCUGCCGUGAAAGUCCGGGGCUCAACUCCGGAUCUGCGGUGGGUACGGGCAGACUAGAGUGAUGUAGGGGAGACUGGAAUUCCUGGUGUAGCGGUGAAAUGCGCAGAUAUCAGGAGGAACACCGAUGGCGAAGGCAGGUCUCUGAGCAUUAACUGACGCUGAGGAGCAAAAGCAUGGGGAGCGAACAGG